CUGUCUGGCUGCUGGGGCCUGUGUGGCUGUCUACUACCUCUGUCAACACAACCUGCAGCGUGUGGUAACGUCCCCCAGUCCAGAGGAUGUCCUGACAGAGGCCUGGUCUCUGCUGCUGCCUGUAGCAGUGUGUGUCCUCAACACCUUCAUAUCACUACUCUACACACACACACACCUGCUGGAGCGCUACGAUAGCCCACGUACACGCGUCUACGUCACGGUGCUCAGGAAUGCGAUGCUGAAGGUGUCUAUCCUAGCAGUGUUGUGUUACUACUGGUUAGCGCUGGUCCCCGGCAACGUCCCGGUAAGAACUACUACACACAUAUUGUCUGAGUCACAUACGGCACCCUAUUCCCUGUGUAGUGCACUACUUUAGACCAGAGCCCUAUUCCCUCUAUAGUGCACUACUUUAGACCAGAGCCCUAUUCCCUCUAUAGUGCACUACUUUAGACCAGAGCCCUAUUCCCUAUAUAGUGCACUACUUUAGACCAGAGCCCUAUUCCCUGUAUAGUGCACUACUUUAGACCAGAGCCCUAUUCC